rnacentral:rRNA from 1 species
AACGAACGCUGGCGGCAUGCCUAACACAUGCUAGUCGAACGAGAUCUUCGGGUCUAGUGGCGCACGGGUGCGUAACGCGUGGGAAUCUGCCCUUUGGUUCGGAAUAACAGUUGGAAACGACUGCUAAUACCGGAUGAUGACGAAAGCCCACAGAUUUAUCGCCAGAGGAUGAGCCCGCGGAGGAUUAGCUAGUUGGUGGGGUAAAGGCGCACCAAGGCGACGAUCCUUAGCUGGUCUGAGAGGAUGAUCAGCCACACUGGGACUGAGACACGGCCCAGACUCCUACGGGAGGCAGCAGUGGGGAAUAUUGGACAAUGGGCGAAAGCCUGAUCCAGCAAUGCCGCGUGAGUGAUGAAGGCCUUAGGGUUGUAAAGCUCUUUUACCCGGGAUGAUAAUGACAGUACCGGGAGAAUAAGCUCCGGCUAACUCCGUGCCAGCCGCCGCCGUAA